rnacentral:lncRNA from 1 species
AUCCAUAAUGAAUAUCUUACACAUUUCUAUUUCUUUGUAUGUUUUAGAAUUUUGUCCCUUUUUCCUAUUGAUACAUUGUUUAUAUACUAUACAGAAAAUCGUGACGUUGUUAAGUUGCCUAGUUUUAUUAACAUAUAUGUAUACACAAUUGUGAAGGAUGAUACAUUGUUUUAUAUAUUACAGAGAAAAAAUAAUUACACAAAGCUGAAUGCUAUAGCAUCCAUGGGGCUGAUAUGACA